rfam:Picea glauca, whole genome shotgun sequence.
UAGUUUAGUUCGGUAGAACGUAGGUCUUCAAAACUUGAUGCUCUAGGUUCAAAUCCUAU